rnacentral:misc_RNA from 1 species
GAUGAAGAACGUAGCGAAAUGCGAUAAGUAAUGUGAAUUGCAGAAUUCAGUGAAUCAUCGAAUCUUUGAACGCACAUUGCGCCCGUCAGUAUUCUGGCGGGCAUGCCUGUUCGAGCGUCAUUACGCCCCUCAAGUCCCCUGUGGACUUGGUGUUGGGGAUCGGCGAGGCUGGUUUUCCAGCACAGCCGUCCCUUAAAUUAAUUGGCGGUCUCGCCGUGGCCCUCCUCUGCGCAGUAGUAAAACACUUGCAACAGGAGCCCGGCGCGGUCCACUGCCGUAAAACCCCCCAACUUUUUAUAGUUGACCUCGAAUCAGGUAGGACUACCCGCUGAACUUAAGCAUAUCAAUAAGCGGAGGA